rnacentral:rRNA from 1 species
GUGACUGCGUACCUUUUGUAUAAUGGGUCAGCGACUUAUAUUCUGUAGCAAGGUUAACCGAAUAGGGGAGCCGGAGGGAAACCGAGUCUUAAUUGGGCGUUAAGUUGCAGGGUAUAGACCCGAAACCCGGUGAUCUAGCCAUGGGCAGGUUGAAGGUUGGGUAACACUAACUGGAGGACCGAACCGACUAAUGUUGAAAAAUUAGCGGAUGACCUGUGGCUA